AAACAUCGAGAGUAAUAAUGACCGCGCCGCCUCAGGACAAAACUGUUCAGAACCACUUUUCGUCUCAUUAUCGUUUCACAUUUUGAAUUCUCUCUGUCUUCUCAGAAAGCUCGCUCUCUUCUGCUCUCUGUUCUUCUUCGGUUUCUCCUGCUCAUCGGUCCUUAUUGUUCUUCAGGUACGCCUUCUUAUUCUUCCAUGGAAAGUCCUAAACUUCCCGACGUUUUCAAUCUUGAGUCCAGCAUCACCCCAU
rnacentral:lncRNA from 1 species